GUGCUGUAGGAAAGAAAAGAUUAGCACUCCCCUGGACACGGUAGAAGAGGCCUCAGGCCGGCACAGUAUGCGUAUAGUUAAGGCAUUGCUGCCUGCUUCAUGGCGUUUUCUGCAUCUAAGUAUAUGC